CUCCAUCCACCGACCACACUCACGCACGGCAGGAGCGGGGGACCCAGGUAAGCCGCCGGCCAUGUGCCGGCUCGGGGUGAAGCCAUGCCUUCAGGGGCACGGCCGGGCAGCUCCAGCCCGAACCCGACAGCUCACCUCGCAGGCGCAGGAGAGGAAAC
rnacentral:sRNA from 2 species